GCCUAGACGUAAACAAUUUAUUUACAUACUUUAACGCCCGGGUAUUACGAGCAUUGCUUAAAACCCAAAGGACUUGACGGUGUCUCACCCACCUAGAGGAGCCUGUUCUAUAAUCGAUAACCCCCGCUUUACCUAACCAUUCUUUGCCUAAUCAGUCUGUAUACCUCCGUCGGAAGCUUACCAUAUGAACGCCCAUAGUAAGCCCAAUGGUCACCCACCAACACGUCAGGUCAAGGUGCAACUUAUAGGAUGGAAAGAAAUGGGCUACAAUUUCUAAAUUAGAACAAACGAAAGGCUGUCUGAAACCCCCAGUCAUGAAGGAGGAUCUAGUAGUAAAAGGGGAAUAGAGAGCUCCUUUUAACCUGGCACUGAGACGCGUACACACCGCCCGUCACCCUCUUCAAUAGUUAUUCGUCUAGAUUAUUAACAAAUUAACCACGCCUU
rnacentral:rRNA from 1 species